UACACUCCUACGGGAGGCAGCAGUGGGGAAUUUUGGACAAUGGGCGAAAGCCUGAUCCAGCAAUGCCGCGUGAGUGAAGAAGGCCUUCGGGUUGUAAAGCUCUUUUGUCAGGGAAGAAACGGUGAGAGCUAAUAUCUUUUGCUAAUGACGGUACCUGAAGAAUAAGCACCGGCUAACUACGUGCCAGCAGCCGCGGUAAUACGUAGGGUGCAAGCGUUAAUCGGAAUUACUGGGCGUAAAGCGUGCGCAGGCGGUUUUGUAAGUCUGAUGUGAAAUCCCCGGGCUCAACCUGGGAAUUGCAUUGGAGACUGCAAGGCUAGAAUCUGGCAGAGGGGGGUAGAAUUCCACGUGUAGCAGUGAAAUGCGUAGAUAUGUGGAGGAACACCGAUGGCGAAGGCAGCCCCCUGGGUCAAGAUUGACGCUCAUGCACGAAAGCGUGGGGAGCAAACAGGAUUAGAAACCCGAGUAGUCCC
rnacentral:rRNA from 1 species